UGAGUUUUCCAAUGGGUUUUUAAAUAACUCUCAACAAUGGAUCUCUAGGCUCUUGCAUCGAUGAAGAACGCAGUGAACUGCGAUAACUGGUGUGAGUUGCAUGGCACUUCUAAUCUAACACCAAGCGAAUCAUCGAGUCUUUGAACGCAAACGGCACCCUUCCAGUCCAUUCCAAAGCGGUGGCGGAGGAUGAAGACAAGGGUAUCUCUGGCUGAGGGUAAUGAGAACUGAUCCAGUGUAACCGUUGGUUUAGCUGGGGAUUGGGCUUGCUUGGGGCAGUUGCUCUGGCUUGCCUCAAAAUCAAGCGUUGUGUGGAUUGGACUUUCAAGCAUGCAUUGGGGACGCAGGCUCUGCGCUAUGGCAAGCCCUUGACCGUCAUAGGUGCUUUGAUUGGGGUUUUCAGUCUAGCCAACAAGGCUGGGUUGAAGGACUUUGGGGCUGCAUUGGGGGCGCAAGGGCAGCUCUGUUCGUGGCGUCCGAUGACCGUCAUGAUGCAUGCGUGAUUGGACUUCAACUAGCAAUUUAUCAUUAUCAUCAUCAUUACUAUGGGUUACCUCAGGUCAGAGAAGACUACCCGCUGGACUUAAGCAUAUCACUAAGCGGAGGAAAGAAAAUCUAACUAGGAUUCCCCCAGUAACUGCGAGUGUAUGUUGAAG
rnacentral:misc_RNA from 1 species